AAGUCGUAACAAGGUUUCCGUAGGUGAACCUGCGGAAGGAUCAUUAACGAGUUUUGACAUGGGUUGUCGCUGGCCUUUUUUUGGAGGCAUGUGCACGCCCUGCUCAUCCACUCUACACCUGUGCACUUACUGUGGGUUUCAGGCGCGUCGCGGGCCUCCGUGCUCGAGGCGUUACUGGGCCUACGUUUUCACUACAAACUAUUGAAGUAACAGAAUGUGUAUGGAUGUAUAACGCAUCAGUAAUACAACUUUCAGCAACGGAUCUCUUGGCUCUC
rnacentral:misc_RNA from 1 species